rnacentral:rRNA from 1 species
UAUGUCUGGGAACUGCCUGAUGGAGGGGGAUAACUACUGGAAACGGUAGCUAAUACCGCAUAACGUCGCAAGACCAAAGAGGGGGACCUUCGGGCCUCUUGCCAUCGGAUGUGCCCAGAUGGGAUUAGCUAGUAGGUGGGGUAACGGCUCACCUAGGCGACGAUCCCUAGCUGGUCUGAGAGGAUGACCAGCCACACUGGAACUGAGACACGGUCCAGACUCCUACGGGAGGCAGCAGUGGGGAAUAUUGCACAAUGGGCGCAAGCCUGAUGCAGCCAUGCCGCGUGUAUGAAGAAGGCCUUCGGGUUGUAAAGUACUUUCAGCGGGGAGGAAGGGAGUAAAGUUAAUACCUUUGCUCAUUGACGUUACCCGCAGAAGAAGCACCGGCUAACUCCGUGCCAGCAGCCGCGGUAAUACGGAGGGUGCAAGCGUUAAUCGGAAUUACUGGGCGUAAAGCGCACGCAGGCGGUUUGUUAAGUC